rnacentral:rRNA from 1 species
AAAAAGCUCGUAGUUGGAUUUGUCGACGGAUCGGUCCGACCUUUGGUGGGUACUCGAUGUUGUCGCGCCAUCCUUGAGUGGAUUCGUCCUGGCAUUAAGUUGUCGGGGCGGAGCCGCUCAUCGUUUACUGUGAGAAAAUUAGAGUGUUCAAAGCAGGCUUAUGCCGUUGAAUAUACUAGCAUGGAAUAAUAAGAUAGGACCUCGGUACUAUUUUGUUGGUUUGAGAACCAAGGUAAUGAUCAAUAGGGACAGUUGGGGGUAUUCGUAUUCAGUUGUCAGAGGUGAAAUUCUUAGAUUUACGGAAGACGAACUACUGCGAAAGCAUUUACCAAGGAUGUUUUCAUUAAUCAAGAACGAAAGUAUG